AGUGAACGCUGGCGGUAGGCCUAACACAUGCAAGUCGAACGGCAGCACAGUAAGAGCUUGCUCUUACGGGUGGCGAGUGGCGGACGGGUGAGGAAUACAUCGGAAUCUACUUUUUCGUGGGGGAUAACGUAGGGAAACUUACGCUAAUACCGCAUACGACCUACGGGUGAAAGCAGGGGAUAUUCGGACCUUGCGCGAUUGAAUGAGCCGAUGUCGGAUUAGCUAGUUGGCGGGGUAAAGGCCCACCAAGGCGACGAUCCGUAGCUGGUCUGAGAGGAUGAUCAGCCACACUGGAACUGAGACACGGCCCAGACUCCUACGGGAGGCAGCAGUGGGGAAUAUUGGACAAUGGGCGCAAGCCUGAUCCAGCCAUACCGCGUGGGUGAAGAAGGCCUUCGGGUUGUAAGGCCCUUUUGUUGGGAAAGAAAAGCAGCAGGUUAAUACCCCGCUGUUCUGACGGUACCCAAAGAAUAAGCACCGGCUAACUUCGUG
rnacentral:rRNA from 1 species